GACGAACGCUGGCGGCGUGCCUAACACAACCAAGUCAACUUGACUGAAGGAGCAAUCUGACAGUAGAGUGGCGCAAGGGUGCGUAACGCGUAAGUAACUUGCCCCAAGGUAAGGAAUAACGUCGAGAAAUCGGCGCUAAUACCUCAUAAUGCAGCGGAUCCGCAUGGAUAUGUUGUUAAAAGGUUUACCGCCUUGGGAUAGGCUUGCGUCUGAUUAGUUAGUUGGUGUGGUAACGGCACACCAAGGCUACGAUCAGUAACUGGUCUGAGAGGAUGAUCAGUCACACUGGAACUGAGACACGGUCCAGACUCCUACGGGAGGCAGCAGUGAGGAAUAUUGGGCAAUGCUCGAAAGAGUGACCCAGCAACGCCGCGUGGAGGAUGAAGGUAUUCUAUAUCGUAAACUCCUGUGAGAGCAGACGAAAGACAGAUUAUUAAUCUGGAUGACUGUAUGCUCAGAGGAAGCCCCGGCUAACUACGUGCCAG
rnacentral:rRNA from 1 species